GAUGAACGCUGGCGGCGUGCCUAAUACAUGCAAGUCGAGCGAACAGACGAGGAGCUUGCUCCUCUGACGUUAGCGGCGGACGGGUGAGUAACACGUGGAUAACCUACCUAUAAGACUGGGAUAACUUCGGGAAACCGGAGCUAAUACCGGAUAAUAUAUUGAACCGCAUGGUUCAAUAGUGAAAGACGGUUUUGCUGUCACUUAUAGAUGGAUCCGCGCCUCAUUAGCUAGUUGGUAAGGUAACGGCUUACCAAGGCAACGAUGCGUAGCCGACCUGAGAGGGUGAUCGGCCACACUGGAACUGAGACACGGUCCAGACUCCUACGGGAGGCAGCAGUAGGGAAUCUUCCGCAAUGGGCGAAAGCCUGACGGAGCAACGCCGCGUGAAUGAUGAAGGUCUUCGGAUCGUAAAACUCUGUUAUUAGGGAAGAACAAAUGUGUAAGUAACUAUGCACGUCUUGACGGUACCUAAUCAGAAAGCCACGGCUAACUACGUG
rnacentral:rRNA from 1 species